rnacentral:lncRNA from 1 species
CCUCUUACUGGGCAUGCAUUCACUAUGCAUUUGUUAAGUACUACGGAGCAAGGAAGGAGUUUCAAGAGACACACAAAUACAUCACAAGCAAAAUUCACUCGUUCUUAAUUAGCCAGGCAUCAUUUAUUCUGCUGUAAGUUUUUAGAGAAAGAAAAGUUAAUAACAGCAAUAUCACUAUUGAUUAUCUCUCUUUAUCCUCACAACAAAUCCAUGAGGUACCUAUGAUCCCGAUUUUAUAGAUGAGGUAAUGGGAGGCUUAGAAAGAUUGGGUACGUUGCCCAAUAUUCCACAAGUAUUCGGUGGCAGAGCAAAAUUCUCACACUAAUUUAUCUGAUUCCUAAGCCUUUACUCUUAACCAGUACACUUGGCUGCCUUGCAGAGUCAGGGAACCAUUGAGAAGUUGAGGUUUGAAUUGGCUCUUGAAGGCAGUCUAUGGUUUGGAUCACCUUGGAUUGAGGUAAAAGGAGAGACAUUCAAAUUGCCUAGAUUAUAUCCCCAGAGCUUGAAACACUGCCUAGUAUAUGGUAGGAGCUCUAUAUCUACUGAAUGAAUGAAUGGGUGGAUGGAUGAGAAGAAGCAUCAAUAGAGUCAUAGAGAUGGGGUCAGAAUCAUGGAGAUGGGACCAGGAUGGAGAGCAAGGACUGGGAAAGGGAAAAUGAGAGCCUGGAAUGGAAAGAGGAGUCAAGAGACCAGUUUGAAGCACAGUGUUCAUUCUGGUUGGGAGUAGGAGCUCAGGUCACCUAAACCUGAUGGACCACUUGAUGGAAGGCUUAGGACACUAGGGUGAGAAGUCUGGAUUUCGUUCUAUGGAUUGUUGUCAAGUUAAUUUCUAAAGAGAUGCCCAAUAAGGUGAAAGCCAUGAAUUAGAAGGAUUAAUCUGGUUCUGACAUGCAGUGGGGGCUAGAAGUGGAGGGACCAGAGACCACGGGACUAGACAAUGAGUGUAUUGAUCAGGUGAGAGCACAGGGGAACAUGCCUGGGAGGACCUGGGGAGCUCUGAUUGGUAAGCCAGGGUAAGAGUCAAACACAGACUUGUGUCUUCGUUAAAGAGACAAGAGAAUUGGGCAUCCAAUUAUGACUGAAUCACUUACAGCAAGUAGAGGACAGCAGGGAAACAUGCAAGCUAUCUUCCUCACAAGAGCACCUGGAUACAGAGAUAAUUUGAAAAUAUUCAGCUCAGUCUCACUACACAAAUAAUUACUUUGAAAAAUUUUUGGUCAUCAAGUCAAAGGAACCAGCCACUGGUCUAAGCAAGUGAUUGCAAAUGCUUUUAAUGAUCUUCACUGGCCUAGAGAAAAAAACCCUCAAAUUAGAGCAGUUCCUUUCUCAAACUUAGGUGCAUCCUCUUGCUAAUAAGAGUCAAGAUCCGUAAGGCAGCCCUUACAUGGAAACUUCCCCAGCCACAUGGCAAACUUUGGUGAGAACAAUGGCAGAGUGCACUACUUUUUGGGAAGUGCCACAGUGAGUUCAGCACCAGGUACACAGAAAUGAGUGGUUCACAAAUAUAUGCUGCCUUGACUUACUAGUAACUGAGAGAGCUUCCUCCGUAUGUCCUAAACAAAGUUGACACUUAGCUGCUUCCAUAAACGCUCAAAGAAUGACUGGAACCCCAAACAUUUGUGUUCCAACACCAGUACUCAGACUAUACUUUGAUCACAUACACCCACAGGGAUUUUGUCUUUAAGAAAUGCACCUAAAAAUAAUAAUAAUAAAAAUAAAAGGAAAUGCACCUUAGGGUUGUUGGAUAUUGGUAGUGUUCUAUGAUCUGAAGAGGAUUUGAAAGUGCAGAUAUUUAGAUGUCCAUCCAAUCAUUCAACAAAUGUUUACUGUGUGCCUACUACAAACCAGGCACUGUUUAUGGCACUAAAAAUAUGUCAGUGAAUAACACAGGCAACCCUGCCUUUGCGGAGGUUACCUUCUAGUAGAAGGAGACAGAUAAUAGCUAGCAAAUGUAACAAAUAAGUAAAUUCGUAGGUUGGAAAGUGAUAUGUGCAAUGAAGAAAAGCAAUAGAGUGUAGAGGCUGCGUGUGAUAUCACAAUUUUAAAUAAGAUGGUCAAAGUAGGCAUUGAUUGAGAUGUGACAUUGAUGAAAGACCUGAAGGAGACAAGUGUCUAUGUUGCUACUUAUACUUACAUUUAAAGUCCUUCCUAAAACUUCAGACUUAAGGCAAAACCAAUGCAUCAGCUUAUAUCUGGUAUAAGCAAAGUUGGGGACUUGCCCUCUUAUCAUGAAACUAAUCAGACACAUAUUUUAUCCACUUGCAUUUAACAACAAAAGCCAUUAGAAAACCUAAUUUUCUGAGGCAGAAUGUGUUAAAAUACCAACCCCCAAAUCCUUUUGGUGUAACAAAGCUCCCCUUGUAAAAACUCUGGCCCUACUUGUUGGUGCCACUCUCUCUCAGGUACCAUUCUUUCUCUGAAGACAACAAUAACAACUGCUCUCUUAUCAAGAUUAAAAACAGAAACCAAAUUUUUGUUGGUGAUAAACAGCCAACAGCUAGUCUAAGCAUUAAUCCAGUAGUGUAUGAAUAAGUUAUGAAAAUUCUCUUUGCCAGAAAAACAAUCAACUGUCUCACUGCUCACCUAUCAGCCUUUAUUUCCUACUAGGUACUAUAUUUAUGGCUCCUAUCUAGAAAAAAAGAAGUUGGGAACAAUUCAAGCUUAAGUGCAUAUUAUUGAAACUGUAAAUCUCUAUUCCAGAUUGUAAGCUAUUAUCAUAUACUUAUUUUUAAGACUUUCAGAUUCCAAUGUUUCUCAAAUGCAGAAAAUUAUCUUACAAGUCAGCAGGUCAGGGUUUGAUCUUGAACAGAACCAGUUUAGAGAAAGUUCCCAUGGGGAGCUUUCAAGAUUCCUGAACUACAACACAUGUCUGAGAAAUUAGAAAGUCCACAGCAAGUUUCUGUUACAUGGAUUAUAACUGAGUUUGUGAGUGGUUGGUGUUCGCUGCCACUAAGUGGCCUUGCUCAAAGAUUCUGCCCCAGGCCUCGUGUGGUAGCUCAUGCCUGUAAUCCCAACAUUUUGAGAGGCCAAGGUGAGCAGAUUGCUUGAGUUUGGGAGUUAAAAACCAGCCUGGGCAACAUGGUGAAACCCUAUCUCUACAAAAAAUAGAAAAAUUAGCCAGGCAUGAUGGUGUGCACCUGUAGUGAGGCAGGAGGAUGGCUUGAGUCUAGGAGGUGGAGAUUGCAGUGAGCCGAGAUCGCACCACUGCACACCAGCCUGGGCAACAGAGCCAGAUCCUGUCUUAACAAACAAACGAAGACUCAUCCCCAACACCACCCCACGUGUCUACCGCCUGCCUGCAUGCUUCUGGCUGCUCAGCUGUCUGCACUUCUGACUUUGCUCAACACAGCUCCGGCCUUUGCCAAUCAUGAGCUGCCAAGACUAGAGUGUGUGGCUGAAACACUUGAACACUCACGUGAAAGAAACUCAACUUCUGCUUUUGGGUAAUUUGCUGACAGUUGCUUUAUUUCCUUUUCUUCUAUUAAGCAAUUCUAUUUGCACAGAAAAAUAUAAUCAACAAGUGAUUUUCUUAAGCAAAAGCAUAAAACAAUGAUAAUAAAAUAAAUGAUGACAAACUUUUACAGAACCUACUCUGUGCUCACGGGCACACUUGGCAGUGUGUUGUGAGCCCUUUCAGAGGAGAAAUGAUAAAGAACUUAAAUUUUUUAAAACUAUCUUUAUAAAGAAAAAGAGCACAGUUUAACUGUGAUUUGAACUGACAAGAAGUACUUCUUGUUUCAAGCGAAAAUACUUUGGACCACUGGGCACAUUAGGUAUUGAAAUGUCAGGUUAACACUGAAUACUCCUGUUUAUUUUCUCCAUCUUUUGGCAGAUGCUCAAUUCCAAGGCUUGGUGGAGAGCCAAUGUAUCCUGUUAAAGUACAGCACACACACACAAAAUGGACACUUUCUUUCACAGGAAAGCUCAACAUAUAAACACUUUCCCUUUGACCUGUCCGUUCUCCAGGCUUCAUGACUUUCUACAUUCACCAAGCAGCCCUGUAUCUCACCAUAACCUUGACCAUCCUCUUUUACUGUGUAGGCUAAUUAACUGUGACAAGAUGAAGUGACUUUGCCCAAGACCCAAGUGCAGGUGUCAGUACCAGACUAGAACUCAGGUCUCUGGCUCCAGGCUAGUACUCUUUUGUCCAAAGUUACACAAGUAAUUAACAAAAGGUGAAAUGAUUUCCCCUGCUUUCCAGCUUCCAACACCCGGCUUCCCCAUCUUCUCUCACCUCCUUCAAUGAGAAUGUCUUACUGCCGUAACACGCAUUUGUACCCAGUGUCUCUUUAAUGUCAUCUGGUUGAGUGCUGCCUUUCCUUGCAUGCAGGGCUGAUAUUCAAAAUAUUUCACAACUUGGGUGGCCUAAGCACUGACCAGUCGGAAGGAACACUGGUUUCCUGCUGGAUUGAGGAGCUGGAGGCUCCCUUCCCCGCUGCAAUGGAUCCCCUUAGCUGCAAGUGUGUGAGGAAGUCAGAGGAAUCCCCGGAAGCCCUGCUUAGAGGCAGCUUCAGAAGGGAAACUCGUGAAGGGCCCAGGCUUCUGUCAUUUGUGCACCAUAUGCACAACCCUUCUCGUUUAUUAUUCACUCAGCAAAUAUUGAUUAAGUACCUACAAUGUUUAGAACCUUAUGGGAAAAACAAAGUCAGUAAGACAUGCCCUUAUGCCUACUUUAUUUCCUGGUAUAAUAGAUAAGAAAUGUACAUCAAUAGCUAUAAUUGAAAUAGAUUAUAGCUAUAAUUGAAAUAU